rnacentral:rRNA from 1 species
GUAGUCUGAUCGUGGCUCAGAACGAACGCUGGCGGCAGGCUUAACACAUGCAAGUCGAACGCAUCCUUCGGGGUGAGUGGCAGACGGGUGAGUAACGCGUGGGAACGUGCCCUUCAGUUCGGGAUAACCCAGGGAAACUUGGGCUAAUACCGGGAUACGUGCGAGAGCAGAAAGAUUUAUCGCUGAAGGGAUCGGGCCCGCGGUCUUGAUUAGCUAGUUGGUGGGGUAAUGGCCCACCAAGGCGACGAUCAGUAGCUGGUCUGAGAGGAUGAUCAGCCACAUUGGGACUGAGACACGGCCCAAACUCCUACGGGA